GACGAACGCUGGCGGCGUGCCUAAUACAUGCAAGCCGAACGCUUUUUCUUUCACCGGAGCUUGCUCCACCGAAAGAAAAAGAGUGGCGAACGGGUGAGUAACACGUGGGUAACCUGCCCAUCAGAAGGGGAUAACACUUGGAAACAGGUGCUAAUACCGUAUAACACUAUUUUCCGCAUGGAAGAAAGUUGAAAGGCGCUUUUGCGUCACUGAUGGAUGGACCCGCGGUGCAUUAGCUAGUUGGUGAGGUAACGGCUCACCAAGGCAACGAUGCAUCGCCGACCUGAGAGGGUGAACGGCCAAACUGGGAAUGAGACACGGCCCAGACUCCUGCGGGAGGCAGCAGUCGGGAAUCUUCGGCAAUGGACGAAAGUCUGACCGAGCAACGCCGCGUGAGUGAAGAAGGUUUUCGGAUCGUAAAACUCUGUUGUUAGGGAAGAACAAGGAUGAGAGUAGAACGUUCAUCCCUUGACGGUAUCUAACCAGAAAGCCACGGCCAACUACGUGCCAGCCGCCGCGGUAA
rnacentral:rRNA from 1 species